CAAACUGCAUGCUGGUGUCCUUCUCCAAUGCUGUUAUCAGUUUAGGUGUUGUUGGCGGUAAGAGAAGCAGCCCUCUUGACAUGCAAUGUUUUCACAUAGUUGAGAGUAGGAACACAAAGUGGUCCUGAAAAAAAAGUAAUUUUCUGGCCCUGCUCUGAGUUUUGGUGCUGGAAAUGCUCUGUUCAAGCUACCAAGGCAACUGCUGCAGAGACGAGGCUCCAGGAGCAAGGUGCCUGGACCCCACUAAUCUACUUGCCACCACAACUGAAAGAAGCGAUUUUAGCUUGACCUAAGGUGGACAAUUGCUGAAGAACUCAUCUUCAACAGAUGGCUAGUCCACCAGCUGCCACUCUCUCCAGUGUUUGUCCACGACUGCAGAUGUUACAACUAUUAUUAAGUGGGUUUGCACAGUGAUAUUGCUAACCUACCAUAAACCCCUGGGCGGACUCUGUCCAAAAGAUCCUCUUAGUCACACUGUCUAUCUGGAUCUUUUUCUGAGCUUAUACAGCUUUUAAAGACAUUGAUGUUGCAGCCUGUUCCGGGGAACUGGUGGCAAAGCUCUCUUUGUUUCUCCUAAGGGAAGACCCCGAAGGCCACUAAAGCUGCACAGCAAUGUUUCCUUUCCUUUUAAGGGUGAGCUGAGGGAGGCAGCCUGCUUUCAUCCUUAAAUCUUACCAGAUGAGAGGGAAGCUAGUGCUGAUGACCAGGCAAUGAUGACCAGUGCUAGAGCUCCCACAGCCAGUGGAGAUGCAGCAUCAGCCAGAGGACGGGCGAUGUCAGGGCAUUGAAAGUUGGGGUCUGUAUGCCGCCCUGCUGCUGUCUGCAGUUCUUCCUCAGCAUCUUGUCUGUAGAACAGAGUUGACCAUCUCUCUGCCUCUGCUGGCAGGAUGCCUAGCGAGCCCAGGCAUUGCUGGAGGACAAAUACUGGUGAUGGUGGCACAGAUCCACGUGCAUGAGAAAGCAAAGCUUUUCCCAAUGACGCUUGCUGUAUCCUUUUCCCUAGUGGGAUCACUGCCAUUCCUUACUUAACUACAGAGGUCCCCCCUUUCCAAGCAGGGAAGAUUUGAAACUGUAUUUGAAAGAGGCUGUAUUUAGAUGCUUAUUUCCCUCUUGCUGAAAAAUUUUUUAGUAACUUUGUAUUGUAGUAAAGCUCUUUUCACAGGCAUAAAUGCUAAGCAAGGAAAUACUAGCUAAUAAUAAAAGAUGGACAACCUAUCUCAAAAAUAUGAGCACCUGCCUUGAGCGCUGGACUAUUCAAUCCUGAAAAUUAAUCAUGCUAACAUGAGCCUCCACUGUAAUAGCAAACUGUGUCAUGUUAUGACUUUCAGCCCAAGA